UGUGCAAAAAAAAAAGGAAAUCGAACUGUAAAGCAAUUAAACGUGUGUGUGCGCUAGUGUGCGUGUGCGAGUGCGUGUUUUGUUGAGUUGAGGCAGCAGUCACUCAGUUUGGCCACUGACUCGCUCGCUCGCUGUGAUAAGUUCACCACACACACAACAGCAACAACAACAGCAAAAGCAGCAGAAGCACAAGAGCAACAACAAAUAUCCCAUGAGCGCAGAGCCAACAACAAUGCGCAUCGUAAAUGCUAACUGUUAACUGCCAAAGCGCAGAGCACAAAAUGUUGGCAGCCCUCUGCUAUACACACACAUGCAUAAGCACUAACAUACGCACACACUUAAGUGUCGUCUACUGACAAAUUGCUUUGGCUUGUGUGUAAAAAAGGACUACAACAAGUUGCAGCUGGACAGUGGGCAGAGAGUGCAUCAAGUUGAAUGUGCGUGUGGCCUGUAACCUCUGCCUCUGCUCGCUACCAGCUGUCAGCUGCCUAUGCUUCCAUUGUCCUCUUGGCAACCCAGUAUUUACUCAAAAUAUCCCAGUAUUUUUUGUUGUGUGUGUGUGUGUGCUGCUUGCAGUCAGUGCAACAUAAUUAUAGCUCUCCGCUUUUGGCCAAGCAGAUGGCCACCGAAGCUCGAGAGGUUCGAUUCGCGUGAAAUUAGACAAAUGUUUAGCUUAAUUAUCAACACAUGUGUACAUCGAGAACCAAAUGAAAAUAUAAUCAUAAUAAUCAAUAAUUAUAUCUACCCUUACAGUUCAAACAUUUACAAUUCAAGUGCAUUAAAAAUACAAAUAGCUAAACCAGAGCAUCUUUUGUGAAUAACUUAAAUCAUUUUACUGUAUAUACGCUUCGCUUUUCUAUUAAACCAAAUGCAAAUUGUGCUAAAUAAUGAAAGUCUCUACAUCUUCUAAUGCAACAACUACUAUGAAAUCUAUUUAAUUUUCUAUUGCAAACUAACAAAAUAAAAAAAUUUCAAUAAAAAACAAACAAAAUUCAAAUUGAAACAACGAAUGAACAAACAACGCCGUUUACAACCAACAAAAACUACAACUAAAUAAUAAUAAUACUAAUGACGAAUACAUUGCUGACCACGGAUUUUGCACUGCAUAAUUAUCAAGCGCUCAUCUCAAGACUCGCUUACCAAAGAUGGCAUCGCUCCACAGAACUCAACAACAAAUCAAACAUGAACAACAUCAACAGCAACAACCAUUCGAGCAACAACUACAAAGGCAACAGUCAGCAUUUCUAAUAAUAACAACAACAAAAACAACAACGGCAGCAGCAACAUCAAGAGAAGCCGGACAUCAUUGCUGAUCGCUAGCGAAAUGAAACAAAAACAGAAUCGAGGCGAAUUUCAAAUGUUUAAUACAAAUUUUGCUUUUAAUAUGAAAGCGACCUAAAACUACGAAAAUAGGGAAAGAGGAACUGACCUUGAAGGGUCAAGUGCAGCACACACCCAUACACGCACACACGCACACACACACACACACACACACAUUUACACAAACACACUAAGAAGCACAAAUACACCCACACAUACGGACACAUAUGCACACUGUUACUCCACCCACGCAUUCAUACGGAACACAGUGAAAGGGUAACUGCAAAAACUGAUCUGCGUCAUUGUAAAACGUUUCAACGAAUUUCCAAAAAGUCUACA